CUUCCACCUGCUGGUCUCCGUUCUGACUCUCAGGGGCGCUGGAGAGCCAUCCCGCCUGCUCUGGGGGGUGGGGUCUUGGUGCCAGAGGCGUGGAGAACCUCUCCGUGGGGCUCUUCACACUGAGCCAUUGCUCAGAUAUGCUGCUGGCCUGACAGUUUGCCCCACACAGGUCUAAGAAUGCACAGAUGAAUGCGCGUGUCCCCCAAGCCGCAGAUGUUCCGAGAACUCACAGUGCGGGCCACAGGCUCACGGGGAGGGGAGGGAGCGGUGUGGGUGGGGCUGAGGAGUCAUCCAGGAGAAGUGACCGGAACUAAAGCUGGCUGAGCAAGCGGGCGGCCGCCCCAGCACAUGGCAGAAGCACUUCUGCUAGGAACGGCGAUUUGUUUUGCCUGGAGAGGUUCCUCGCGCACAAACAGGUCUUCUCCUCCUUGGAAGUGGAGCAGAAAUCUCACCCGAGGAUGCUGAAAUGUGGACGGGCGUUUGCCCUGGAGAACCAGGGGCAGCAUUUCCGGCUGUGGGAAGAAGGCUUGCACCGGUGCGCGUGGGGAGCCGCGAGCACGCACGAGGUGCAGGGGCCGCCGUGUGCAGCGGGGCCACGGAAGCCGCUGGUAUUCGUCCUUUCUCCUGACCCGAGCCCUUGCUUCCAUAGUGCUGCCCAGACCCCUGCAAAGUUGACUCAGGAAUUCCAAGCAAAUGGCCACAGCUCAGGGCUCCUCUCCAGGCUUCUAUCCAAGGUGACCUGGUGCAUGCUGUGUGUGCACCUGGGUGGACUUCCCAGAUGGAGCCAGUCAUGGACCACCUGUCCAGCGGCCUCAGCCUGGCCUCCUGUGGACUUCCUCAUGGAGUGAUGGCAGGCCCCCAGUGCUCACCUGUCUCCAGGGUCAAGUCCAGCACUAGGAGAACAACUGCCCCUCCCCCUGCCCUCUUCCGAUGAGGAUCGACUGAGACGUAGUCAACAUGGAGCCCCUGGGUCUAUGCCUUGGAGGCCAAAGAUGGAAACCUAAGCUUCAACCUCCAGCUGUCAAUCAUUCACCACGAACGUCUCAGAAGAAGCCGACCCAAACGGAAGGUUGCAGUGAGGCCCGGAGUCUCCACAUCAUGACAUGAAAAUGUCCAGGGUCAGGCAUGUGGCCCAGCAGCACCACAGGGCUCCUGAAACCCGAGGACUGAUGAUGCCCGUCCCUGCACCCUGAGGGGCCCGCUCCCACUCUGGCUUGGCGGAGAGACAAGCUUACACAUCACUGGGGUUUGACUGUGGCUGUGAGACCACCACUGAAGCAUUGGAAUCCCCAACCACAACCACAGACCCAUCUCUCUGGGACAGAGCCAUGGCUUCCAGGUCAAUUCCGCUGGUCCGGGGAACCACUGGGAAGUCCCAUCCUGCAGUGGUUCCUCUUCUGGGAGGUCUCAUCCUGCACGGAACAGGAGAUUCCAGGCUGGAAGGCUGGCCAGGCCAUUGGCGAGCACCAGCGUGCCUCCCUGUUGCUCAUUGGAGGAAAUGAGGCAAGAAAGGGGCGGGACUUAGCUAAGAUCUGCUGGAGGGGGUGGUAGAGUUAGAAUGACAUCUAGGCCUCCCAGUGCAAUCCUGUCCACAGCUCAUACAGACCCUCACAAGUUAAAGAAGGAUCGCCAGUCUCUGGGCACCCAGCCUGAGCGUGAUGGGUAGGAAGCUGCUUUAUUCUCUCUAGUUCAUCCAACACCAGUAUUUUCUGAGCACCAUAUCGUCACUAGCAUUUACAGCGCUUGCUGUUGAUGGCUAACAAGCCAUCCCCAAUUCAGUGGCCAGGAACCAGAGUCUCCACAAGUCCAGGGCCCCAGGGGUGCGUAGUCACCUGGGCAGGCUCAGCUGGUCUGGGCUGGGAUUUGUGUUCCACGAGCCAGAGGCCGGAGGCUACAAGAGGAUCACGUGUCUGGCAGUGGGCUUGCUAAGGGCUGACAACAUGAAGGUAACUGGGCCUCACGUCUCUCCUCCUCCACUGGGCUAGCCCAGGCUUACUCGUGCGGCACAGGAAAGGUUCUGAGAGAAUGAGUGGAACCAUUCCAAGACUCUGACCUGGAUUCAAAGCUCCAUGGCCCCUUCUGCUGUGGCAAGUCCACAUGUGGCCAGCCAGACUCCAGCAGUGGGACACAGUCCCAAUUCUUCGCUACAAGAUCUACAACAUUGCCGUGCAAAGGGGGCACAGAUGCAGGAGGCCUGGACGAAUGAGGCUAUGUCUGCAACUGACCACGGGGAGAUUUCAAAAUCUUUGGCUUCUAUGUCUGGUUCUUCAGGGCCGUGUGAGUGGCUUUGCAAAGUAAAGUAUGUCAAAGCCGCUGUGUGAUUCUCCACACUCCCUUCUUUCUGCUGCAGAAAGUGGAAAGUCAAGGCCGACUGUCCCAGUCUGAGUCCCUCAGUGACAACAGUGCUCGGGCUCCAAGCCAGUCCCUUGCUCACCUGUGAGGCAGAGGCAGUAAAAAGCAGAAAGAAAUCAGUGCUUAGAACCCCUGAGACCCAGGCAUGCUUGUUCCUGGGGUCUAGCCUCUUUCAUCCCUACUGACACCAGCCUUGACCAUGCCCCAGGCAUGACCCACUGGGGACCAGGUGAAUAAAAAAGAAUCCGUGCCUUUGAUGAGUCCCCAGUCUUGUGCGAGAAACCGAGGAAUCAAAGAAAUGUAUGUGUAAAUCAUGGUGACGUGGGCAGUGGUCUCUCCUGCCGUCUCAAGAGAUGGACCGGGACUCAGGAAGCGAAGCCAAAGCGAGAUGUUACUAUCGGUGUUGCAAGAUGUGCCUGACCAGCAGGCACCCCUGAGCAAUGACAGCCAGCAAUGUGUGUCCUAGCAGGAGGUCGCUCCCCAGGCUCCUCCCUGGCUGAGUGCUACGGGGCACACAGCCUUCCCCAGGUGAGGACUACGGGACACACAGCCUUCCCCAGGUGAGGACUACGGGACACACUCAACCUUCCCCAGGUGAGGACUACGGGGCCCACAGUCUUCCCCAGGUGAGGACUACGGGGCACACAGCCUUCCCCAGGUGAGGACUACGGGACACACAGCCUUCCCCAGGUGAGGACUACGGGGCACACAGCCUUCCCCAGGUGAGAACUACGGGACACAGCCUUCCCCAGGUGAGGAUUACGGGGCACAGCCUUCCCCAGGUGAGGACUACGGGACACACAGCCUUCCCCAGGUGAGGACUACGGGACACAGCCUUCCCCAGGUGAGGACUACGGGGCACAGCCUUCCCCAGGUGAGGACUACGGGACACACAGCCUUCCCCAGCUGAGGACUACGGGACACAGCCUUCCCCAGGUGAGGACUACGGGGCACACAGCCUUCCCCAGGUGAGAACUACGGGACACAGCCUUCCCCAGGUGAGGACUACGGGGCACAGCCUUCCCCAGGUGAGGACUACGGGGCACAGCCUUCCCCAGGUGAGGACUACGGGACACAGCCUUCCCCAGGUGAGGACUACGGGACACACAGCCUUCCCCAGGUGAGGACUGCGGGGAGCACAGCCUUCCCCAGGUGAGGACUAUAGAGCACAGCCUUCCCCAGGUGAGGACUACGGGACACACAGCCUUCCCCAGGUGAGGACUACGGGACACAGCCUUCCCCAAGUGAGGACUGCGGGGAGCACAGCCCUCCUCAGGUGAGGACUAUGGGGACACACAGCCUUCCCCAGGUGAGGACUACGGGACACAGCCUUCCCCAGGUGAGGACUACGGGACACACCUUCCCCAGGUGAGGACUACGGGACACACAGCCUUCCCCAGGUGAGGACUACGGGCACACAGCCUUCCUAGGUGCAGCCCACGUUCCCUAGUUAGCUUCCUCGUUCCUCUCUGUGCCUUAAUAUCCUCUUGUGAGUUGGCUGCUCCAAGACAGCCUGUUUGCCUGCUGAGUUUUCUACAUUUGCAAGUCAGGUAUAGCAGUUUUCCAUGCUGUGUUGAAGAUGGACCGCCAUUUUCUUACAGUUCCCACUGUGAAGGAAAGGAUUCAGACUGACAAGGGAGAGAUGAAUGACAGGAGUCGAGGAAGCGAGGAGCCAACUUGGAUGACACGGGGUCCAGAAAAGCCUCUCUGGGGGACCGGCGCUGUGGCGUAGCAGGUAAAGCUGCUGCCUGCUGUGCCGCCAUCCUAUGUAGGUGCUGGUUCGAGUUCUGGCUGCUCCACUUCGGAUCCAGCUCCCUGCUAAUGUGCUUGCACCCAGAUGACCACAGCCUGCUGGCUCGCGGUGGCUGAAAGCUUAGCUCACGUCUGGAGCCCAGGAGCCCAGGAGCCCAGAACCCACGUGGGCAGUCAGUGCCUCCUGGGGCUCUGAGGAGCCUGCCCUCCACCCCCCACUUCACGCCCAGUGCCAGGUGGCCUCACAGCCAACGGCUCCGGUCUCUGCUGGGUCUCCUUCUCUCUGCCCCCAGCUCCCUCUGCCCCCUGAAGAUGAGGGCGCCAGCACCGGAACCCCCAUCCCAGUGAUCUAGCCGCAUGCUGGCAUAGGUGCCACCUCUUCUGCGCAUCUGCCUUCUGUCAGCUCAUCACAGCACCCUCAGAGGGGAUGGGGGGCUCUAGCUGCCCCCACGUCUGCCCAGGCACAGUCCUCGAAGGGCCAGGACUCUGAGACGAUGCACCUGUAGGAAGCUCCAAACCCCAGCCUGUCCGCUCUCGCCAGCAGACAAGGCUGCUGGACUCAGGGGAGAGAGAACAGAGCCCCCAGCCUGGAGACUCCGACCGGCGUCUGGGCGGGUUCUAGCCCUCGACCUCUGCCUGGAAUUCUCCCCAUGCCAAAGUUCUCAUUUUCCUGUUGGGCAGGCGGGGGCCGUCUGCUGAACAUCGCUCUGCCGGUUUGGGAAUAAAACCAUAAAAACAGUGUGUUACGCAGACGCUUGUUUUGCGCAAAGGCCGAGGUCUCCUGGGGCCGAGCUCUCGCCGGGCGCCGCGGAGCUGUUGAUUCUGCGCGAGAAGCGCUUGUUUGGAAAUUCAGGCCCCUGCCAGCUAACGGGGAGCAGAGACGUUCUGGAGCAGCGAUGUUCUG